rnacentral:lncRNA from 1 species
UUUUUUUUUCUUUUUUUUUUUUGAGACAGAGUCUCACUCUGUCACCCAGGCUGGAGUGCAGUGGCACGAUCUUGGCUCACGGCAACCUCUGUCUCCUGGGUUCAAGCAAUUCUCCUGCCUCAGCCUCCUGAGUAGCUGGGCUUACAGAUGCCCACUACCACGCUGGGCUAAUUUUUGUAGUUUUAGUAGAGAUGGGGUUUCACCACGUUGACCAGGCUCGUCUUGAACACCUGACCUCAGGUGAUCCGCCUGCCUUGGCCUCUCAAAGUGCUGGAAUUACAGGCGCGAGCCACUGCAUCCAGCCAGCGAUUCAUUUUUUAUAUUACUAUCGAGGCAAAUGUUUUCUAAUUUACUGCUGAAACCUCACUUUGCAGAAACUCUACUGUUACUUGGUUCUGUAUCAAGAAGUCACUCUCUAGUGACAUUCCAUAAUAUUUUAUAUCCAAACAGAAUCCAUCAGUGCCAAGUCCUGCUCUGUCGACAUGCCUGGAACGUGAAUGCAUGUAAAUGAUGCUCCCCUGGAGUUAGACAUAGGGUGACACAUAACCAGGGGGUGCUUACCUCCUAAUUCUGUCAAGGGAAUACCUGAAUGAGGCACUGCUGCAAAUGCUAGUACAGCUCCAGAGCCAAAAUAUUGCAGCUGCCCAUUGCUCCCCGGAAUUUCACUUAAGUUCAUGAUGCAGGAGGGCAGCGUCUUUUCUCUGCAAACUCUUCAGCAGCCCAUUUUUGCCUCCGCCCCUCAGUUGCAUUUUCCGUCUCCUGCAUGUGGCACCUCCCCAUUCACUUGACCGCAGCCCCUGGAGUUUGUCUUUUCCCUCCUCCCUUUGCCAGACUGAAAGUGACAUCAUGGAGGUGCUGGGUGGGCAUGCUUGGGAAGCACACCUGCUUCUUUAGUGUACAUUUUCCCAGAAGCUGAUCCAAGAGAACGACACAAGCACAAGUGGUUCUUUGGGGGAAGUGGGGCUCAUACUGGCAGGGAAGUGGGGAAGGGAGUCAGGGAAGAGAAGGGAAGGCAAAAGGACCUACUACUACUACACCUGCUGCCAUGGGAUGCUGAAUCCCAUAGGAAACUGCACAAAGCAGCACAAGCCUCAGAAUGAUCCCAGUUCUGAGGCGAGGGAGCUGGGGUAUUCACAUGCUAAUUCUUCAAGGCCACUGGUAGU